CCUGAUGGCUCAGAUGGUAAAGCAUCUGCCUACAAUGCAGGAGACCUGGGUUCGAUCCCUGAGUCGGGA
rnacentral:tRNA from 1 species